CCAGAGAUAAUAUUUCAAUAAACCAAAACCAGUCGUUCACAUCCUUUUACAAUACCUCGAUCGAUACAAUCCUACCUUAUUAAGAUACUAAUCACAAUGCUAAAGUUUUCAUGAUAAAUCCCUAAGUUCCCUCGUUCGAUUCCCGACCUCCAACUCCUGUAAGGAAAACAAAGCUAAAAGGGCUGAGCUAAUGCUCAGUGAGAUUUGCCGAGCAAGCAACAUUUAAUAAAUAGUUAAAUCGGUACAAUUAAGCAAUUGAGGAAGCACUUCACUAAACAAUCACUUUUAAAAGGAUAUGGUGCUCGCAUUAGAACCACUUUAAUAUCAUUAAGCAUUCAUUUCAGCGUCAAGAGACACUCAUUUCACGGUCAUUGUACAUUUAUUUCAAUAUCAUUGCAUUCACUCUGCCAAUUCACCUCCUUAUGUCCUCCAAAACAGUAAACAAUCCACUACAUUCAAUAAUCAGUUCAAUAAUCUCCCAACCUCAUGGUAAUAUUCGAGUAUACUGAAACCUUUACCCAAAGCUACCGUCCCACCCAACCAAGCCCUUUGCUGGCUCGAGUAGUCCGUUGAACAGAGGGUUUUGGGGCCCAGUUCAACCGAUGCAGCGAGGCACACAUAUGGUUUACAUUCAUGCACACUUACAGUCACAUUCAGUCAAUUAUCGACCUUCAAACUCAACUAAGUUGAGUGCGAUAAAGUACACCCUCGACCUAGAAGGCAAGGGACAAUUGAGAUACACUUUACAAGGAAUCAUUUAGUAAUAAUUCAUGAUAAAUACAUUUGUCACAUAAUUUCACUUAGAUGCACAUAAACUGUUAAACACAUAAAUUUGAAAAACACUCACCAAUUAUCCAAGUAAUUUACUCUCGAGCCUCGAGUCUGUUUCCUGGCUCGCAGCUACUUCCUGUGGUAAAUAUAUAAUUCCAUUGUAACUUUACAAUUUGUAGAUGUUCACCUAUUAGUUAAAUUAUUCAAAUUAGGUUUGACUUUCAAAUAUAAAAUAUAACAUAUUCAAUAUUUAUUCUAUUUUAUUGUUUAAGCUAUUAAAAUCAAGUUUGACCUUAAAAUACAAAAUAUAAUAUAUUCACUAUUUAUUCUACAUUUUAUUUUGAAACCUAUUGCCUUUAUCAUUGUCACCUUAUACUUGAACUUAUUAAAUUCACGUCUUGGUUUAGAACAAGAUAUAACAUAUUUAAUUUCUAUUUCAUAUUUUUACCUCAAACUUAUCAAUUUUGUCAAUUUAACUGAAGAAGUAAACAUAUAUUUCAAGUUUAAAGACUUUUAAAAUAUUUAGAUCAAGAUUUAACCAUUUCUAUCCACUAUUCUAAGGUUAAGGCAAGUAGCCUUUACAUGCAUUGUUUGUAACCAACUUAGAUUCUAAGCUGCCUAUAGUUUAAAGUUUACGUAAAUUUGCCAAUCUUCUAGCUUUCUCUACCUGCUGUCAACACAUGCUUUGCUAAGGUUCAUCUAUGCCCAUAGUUCAAGCUCAUAAUUAAACUCAAAUCAGCCCCUAACACUAUUCGGAUGAGUUCUUAGUUGUUACCGCAACAUGUUAACUUUACUCCAGCCAAAUGACAGUAGAUAUAACAAAUAUUUUCCUUAGAGUUUGUGGCUGUUUUGCCCUCCAUUUGUAUUUUACAUGAAAAUCUGUAAUUCAUGAUAUUUAGUGUAAUCAUGUUAAAGUCCGGAUCUGCUAUAAAUCAAUUUGCAAACUCGCACCUCCCACAUCAGAAACCGAAUGAUAACAUAUCAGCUAUAAACAUUCCAAAAGCAAAACUAUCCUUCUCUGAGUUCUUCAUUUCCUCACUUCCUACUUAUCAAACAAAUGGUAACUUUCGGCCACAGUAUAUCUUAACAGCAACGUAAAGUGUACAGCCAAGGGAACUGAAACCCAUAGCUGAAUCAAGUCUCCUUCUCGGCCAACUUGGAAAAGAUUCGCGCAGGAACUAGUUAUACAACAUAAAGCUCUUCAAAGUUUCUUUAGUUAUAUACCAAUCUUCCAUGCAGGUUAAAGCUGAGAUACUAUGUAACGAAUCAAGUUUCAGGGUAAAAUUUUGGAGCCAAAAUCGAUAUGGGAACCUGAUAAUGUUCUUUCUUUUCCCUCGGCUGAAACUGAAAGAAUUCCAGCAGCUAACGCAAUUCAUUUCCAGCUUCCUCUUUCUGGUUUCCCAGUUUUUCCUUUCAACUUUUAGUCGGUCUCUUAGUAACGUUAUUCUUCAGCUAAAACUCACUUCCUAUCUGGAAUUUAACAUGCAGAGAACAACUAACAUACCACAAUUGUUUUAAACUGGAAUAUAAAGUUUUCAACCAAAGAUUUGAGGUUAAUAUUAAACAAAGCUUUGUUUCCCUCUCUCGGCCAUAUUAGAAAGGCUUUAGCAGCCAACAGCUUUUAAAACAAGGAAAUUCUCCAAUAAUCUUUUCAUUUUAUACCCAAUCACACAUGCAUGUUCAGACCAAACUAUUAUGCAAUAUAUACAGCUUAACAUAGAAGUUCAUGGCCGAUCAUUCAUGAGGACAGCUAGAAACCUCUUCAUUUCCCUCUCGGAUAUGAAGCUGAAAAAAUUCCAGCAGGUUUCUCCCUACGGUCUCCACCCAAAUUUCCACUUUUCCCCAAGUUUCUUCAACUAAACCCCUUAUGAUACCUGAGAUAACCAUGUUGCAUGCCUUUCUUACAUUAGUUUCCAUUUUACAAUGAUAACAGGCUGUUACUCAAGUGAUUUACCCCCGGUUCCUACAACUUCAGUCGAGCAGUGAUUUUAAUCCUAAACAAGAACAUUUCCUCAAACAAAACUUAUUUUCCUUGCUAAAAGCUAACAUGCAGCUUGUAUAUAUUCUCAUUUGUACUAACUAAGCAGAAAAUUAUGGUAGAUUCUUACCUCUUUUCCCUUAGAAUUCAGCAAUUGUUGACUGCUCCUGUUUCUUUUAGCUUCGGUUCCUAAAAUUGCAGCAGCUUUCACUCUUCCUCUCGGUUGAAGCUAAUCAAUGAUGAAACUAACAAAGUUUCUCUUCCUAUCCUUCACUUUAACUCUCAGUUUUGGUCGGUUAAAGAAUGCAGAAAUGGGAAAGCUAUUCGGUUGCUCUGUUUUCUCUCUCGGUUGUUGCUGCCUAAGGAAAAAAAAUGCAGAGUUCUCUCUCUCACUCUCUCGGUUGGUACUCCAAAUAAGCUGAUCACUCACUCC
rnacentral:lncRNA from 1 species